ACCUACGGGAGGCAGCAGUGAGGAAUAUUUGUCAAUGGGCGGGAGCCUGAACCAGCCAAGUCGCGUGAGGGAAGACGGUCCUAUGGAUUGUAAACCUCUUUUGGCGGGGAGCAAUGCCGGGCACGCGUGCCCGGAGGGAGAGUACCCGCAGAAUAAGCAACGGCUAACUCCGUGCCAGCAGCCGCGGCAAUACGGAGGAUGCGAGGGUUAUCCGGAUUUUUUGGGUUUAAAGGUAG
rnacentral:rRNA from 1 species